rnacentral:misc_RNA from 1 species
GAUGAAGAACGUAGCGAAAUGCGAUACUUGGUGUGAAUUGCAGAAUCCCGUGAACCAUCGAGUCUUUGAACGCAAGUUGCGCCCGAAGCCGUCAGGCCGAGGGCACGCCUGCCUGGGCGUCACACGCCGUUGCCCCCCCGCGCCCCGCACCCAACGCUUUGGGAGCGACCGCGGGGCGGGCUGAUGAUGGCCUCCCGUGCGCUCCGCCGCGCGGUUGGCCCAAAUACCGAGUCCCCGGCGACGUGCGCCACGACGAUCGGUGGUUGAGAGACCUCUGUCGCAAGUCGUGCGCGCCCGUCGCGUCACGCGGGCUCGCAUAGCGCCUCGCGCCGCACCCGGUGCGGAGCUUUCAACGCGACCCCAGGUCAGGCGGGGUUAACCGCUGAAUUUAAGCAUAUCAAUAAGCGGAGGA